rnacentral:rRNA from 1 species
UACGGAGGAUCCGAGCGUUAUCCGGAUUUACUGGGUUUAAAGGGUGCGUAGGCGGGUAGGUAAGUCAGUGGUGAAAUCUUCGAGCUUAACUCGGAAACUGCCUUUGAUACUAUCUAUCUUGAAUAUUGUGGAGGUAAGCGGAAUAUGUCAUGUAGCGGUGAAAUGCUUAGAUAUGACAUAGAACACCUAUUGCGAAGGCAGCUUACUACGCAUAUAUUGACGCUGAGGCACGAAAGCGUGGGGAUCAAACAGG